UAGGGAAUCUUCGGCAAUGGACGGAAGUCUGACCGAGCAACGCCGCGUGAGUGAAGAAGGUUUUCGGAUCGUAAAGCUCUGUUGUAAGAGAAGAACGAGUGUGAGAGUGGAAAGUUCACACUGUGACGGUAUCUUACCAGAAAGGGACGGCUAACUACGUGCCAGCAGCCGCGGUAAUACGUAGGUCCCGAGCGUUGUCCGGAUUUAUUGGGCGUAAAGCGAGCGCAGGCGGUUAGAUAAGUCUGAAGUUAAAGGCUGUGGCUUAACCAUAGUAGGCUUUGGAAACUGUUUAACUUGAGUGCAAGAGGGGAGAGUGGAAUUCCAUGUGUAGCGGUGAAAUGCGUAGAUAUAUGGAGGAACACCGGUGGCGAAAGCGGCUCUCUGGCUUGUAACUGACGCUGAGGCUCGAAAGCGUGGGGAGCAAACAGGAUUAGAUACCCUGGUAGUCCACGCUGUAAACGAUGAGUGCUAGGUGUUAGACCCUUUCCGGGGUUUAGUGCCGUAGCUAACGCAUUAAGCACUCCGCCUGGGGAGUACAACCGCAAGGUU
rnacentral:rRNA from 1 species